UCCUUUUCCCCUUUUUUGGUAGAACCUUCCCCCUCUUUUAUCCCAAAAACUACCCCAACUUCAGCAGUUUAGCCAAAGCUACCCGACCGAUCCUCAACCUCGUCUCAACCCAAAACUAGGGCUUGAAAGGUAAGAUUCUUCCCCUCUAGCUAAUUUCAGUAGUUUCAAGUUUAGGGUUUUAAUUUCUCAUGUAAGAUACACAUAAUUUGUUAAAUUUGCUAUUAUUUUGGUACGAAUUGAUUCUUCAGUUCCGCAACUCGAGAUAUGCAUUUCUGGAGAAAGAACUCAUUCGUUGAAAAUCUAAGGAUUCCCUGUAGUAUUCAAAGAUAUCGAAAUAAUAUUUUGCAAUUUUAUCUCUUUAGAAACUGCUACUUUUUUUUUCCUCAAAAGAUAACUAUAGGUUGGGGUUUCGACUGCUCUGGAGGUUGUGUGGAAAAGGUAGAGCUCUUUCAAAUGAGUUUCCUUUCAUCAAUACUCCUCCUAGUAUAUUAUUCUCUUGACUAGUUGUCCCCUUGAAACUCUAAGCUAGUUUCAUCUUAGUUUCAACUGUUCAUGGAUAGGUUACCUUUUGGAGAAUAUCAAUGUUUGUCCUAAUUCUUGUAAUACUUGCCUUUGCCUUUUCCUUUUCCUUUUCCAGUAUGUAUUACUGACAAGAAUUUGAAUUGGGUUUCUGUAUGGCGAUUUAACCUAUAACUAGAGCGUGUCACCGAAGUCGAUAAGAACAUAAGUACUAAAACUUGAGAAGACUAGAUCUGCUCAACAAGAUGAUUGUCAAGUUCCCACUAGAUGUUAUUUGCUUGCUUCUAGACCUAACUAGUUUGGGUACUAAGGCACAUUUAUUGUAAUAGUUAUUUCUCACAUUAAGUUAUUAGUGUCGAGUUUGUCAUUCGUUUUAUAGUAUACUUGGAGUAAAGUACCUUUAAGGUUUGUAUUUGAACGUUUCAUUGGCUUCAUUAUUUUCCCACUGUCACUCAUUUCUGUUGUCUGCUGGUUUUAUUAUGAAAUGAAUUCGUUACAAUUACACAUAGAUGGUGAGCUAUUAGGAAAUAGUCCUUGUUUUGUUUUAUAGGCAUUAUAUAAGUCCAACAUACACUGCAACAUCUAUGAUAAUGUAUAAAAGCAAAGUGUGUGCAUUUCUUGUAAAUAGAAAACCAUGUUUUGGUUUCAUUUGGAAUUUUGUGUUUCCAGAUAGGAUACUUACCAAUAUAGCAUACGUCAUUGCAAAUGUUAUGGAGAAAUAAGUAUUUGAAGCAUUUUCCAUGAAAUGGUGAGUGAAUAAGAAUCAAGUUGAGUUAAUUUCAACUCAUGAAAUAUGUAACCCAUCAGGUAAAACACCAAUCUCCAUUAAACUAACAUUAUAUUUUUACUACUCUAAUAUUUCCUUAUUGCAAUUUCUAUCUUGAAAAUGUUUAGUGGUUGCUAUUUUUUCUUAAAAUUAAACCAAAAGAGAACAUAGUGUUUUGUUCUAGACAGUUACAUGAACUAAAAAGUAAACAGGGAAGCAAACUAUCGAUAUUGUGCAGCUGGCAACAAGGUGAUUGAAUUCAUGCAAAAAUAUAUAUUGCCUCCAUAAAAUAUAGUUCUAAGAUGUGAUGUAGUGGCCUAGCCCUGUUGUUUAUUGUAAUUAAAAGAACUUUUGGUGCUACUCUAGUUGCUUGUUUAUGUCAUUUGAUGAUGUAUUCAUCUGGUAUGGAGGUCUAUUUUUCUUGCCUAAUUCUCGGGAUGUAGGCAAUGUCUAUUAAACUUGUCAAGCUUCUAUUUUGGGAGAUGAAAGUGAAUGGAGUUCUUAUUUUGAGAUUUAAGCUCUUUUAUCUAAAGAAGUGAUUGAAGUUCUUGUCCGUGCUAGCUGUUUUUUUUCCAGGUAAAUAGGAAAAUUCAAUUUGUUAAAUAGGAACUUGUAGGGGUAUGUUUGGAAGCCGUCACAUUAAGCACACAUAAAAUGCAAGAUACCAUAUCUAGAGUGUUGGUUAGCUUAAAAUAGAUAAUAUACAUCAGAUCAUGUGUUUUUCAGCUGCAACUAUUCUAGUGGAGUCUGGAAUGAGAUUCUGGACUGGCAAGGAAUUAGGAGGGCUAUGAACUGGCACAAUGAGCUGGCAUUGGCAGUAUCUUAUGAUAAGGGAAGAAGUGUAGGUGUUGAAGUAUUUAGAAUAUCUAUAGCUGAUAGUUUGUAUUACUUGUGGCAAGAUAGGAACAUGAGAAUUUUUCAGAACAAGCAAAGACAGGUGGAACAGAUCACAAGAUUAAUUGUUCAAGACAUCUUCAAUAGAGGAUCUAUGAAGGCUAGGCUAACUACUAGGCUAGAAGAGAUUAGGCUAACUACUAGGCUAGAAGAGAUUAACUUUUAUCCUUAUGAAUGUAGCAGGGGCAUAGUUGGAUCAGGUGAUGGCCGAGUAUUGGGUGCUAGGUGGAACUAAGUUCUCUGUAACUAGGAUUGGUUCCAGUUUUAUUUUCUUGAGCGGUAAUGAUUACUUUGUAAUAAUAAAAUGUUAUUUAUAUAAAAAAAAUGUAAGAUAAUAAUUGAGAUGCUAACUUUAUUAUAAACAGAGGAGUAGUUUCAAUUGUAAAUUGUAAUUUUACAGUAUGGGAGCCACUAACUUUGAGUUUAUGUUUCAUUUGUUUUGAUGACAUAAACUUGGAAGCUCAAAGAUGUCCACACUAUAUACAUGGGACUCAAUAUAGUUUUUGCGUUCUCUUCCUAGCAGACAAUGUUUUGAGAAGUUCAUUUCUGGCGGCUAGUGUUGCAAAGUCUUCCUAAUGCAGGCCAAUCUUGUUACAAGCAUUCCGUGGAGACCUUGUUCUUUACGAAGUCAUAAUGCAAAUUCAAAUGCUGCCGAUGAGUCAGACACUAACUUCAUAGCAAGUUCCCCUAGAGGGUACAUUUACAAAAAAAAAAUGAGGUGAAUGCGAUUUGUACGCCAAAGAAUGAAGUUGGUGUUGAAGUCGAGGAGGUAGAUGCGGAAUGCAAGUGACAAUAAAUGGAGACAAUGGUUGUAGCUUUCCUUUGGACCAACCUUGAGAUAAUGGUGUUUAAUCUUAUUGUGUUUUUGGUUGAAAGUAUAUUUUAUCUCAUUUGUAAUUAUAUUUUAUCUCAUUUGUAAACAUGUACUUCAUCCUUUUAACAUAUAUAACAAUUAUUAAUGAUUUGUUGGAUGUUGUACGACUUCUAUUAUUGUUUGUCAUAUUUCAAUUUGUAUACGAGAAUGCAAUUGCGUUCCGUGUGCCCACUAAAUAUCAGUUGAGAAUGAAUAGGGAA